rnacentral:rRNA from 1 species
GGCGAAGUCGGGAACUCCUGGCUGUCACCGACAUUGAGGAGGCGAACGCACGGGGAGCGACCAGGAUUAGAUACCCUGGUAGUCCAUGCCGUAAACGUUGGGCACUAGGUGUGGGGGCCAUUCCACGUUCUCCGCGCCGUAGCUAACGCAUUAAGUGCCCCGCCUGGGGAGUACGGUCGCAAGGCUAAAACUCAAAGGAAUUGACGGGGGCCCGCCCAAGCGGCGGAGCAUGCGGAUUAAUUCGAUGCAACGCGAAGAACCUUACCAAGGCUUGACAUACACUGGACCGUUCUGGAAACAGUUCUUCUCUUUGGAGCUGGUGUACAGGUGGUGCAUGGUUGUCGUCAGCUCGUGUCGUGAGAUGUUGGGUUAAGUCUCGCAACGAGCGCAACCCUCGUUUUAUGUUGCCAGCACGUGAUGGUGGGAACUCAUAGGAGACUGCCGGGGUCAACUCGGAGGAAGGUGGGGAUGACGUCAAAUCAUCAUGCCCUUUAUGUCUUGGGCUUCACGCAUGCUACAAUGGCUGGUACAGAGAGAGGCGAACCCGUGAGGGUGAGCGAAUCCCUUAAAGCCAGUCCCAGUUCGGAUGGUGGUUUGCAAUUUGAAUACGGGAAGUCGGAGUCGUUAGUAAUCGCAGAUCAGCAACGCUGCGGUGAAUACGUUCCCGGCCCUUGUACACACCGCCCGUCAAGUCACGAAAGUCGGUAACACCUGGAAGCCGGUGUCCCAGCCCCUUCUUGGAGGGGGCCGUUUAAUCGUGGGAUUGAAGAAGUGUCCAGACUAGAGCAGGCUGCA